rnacentral:tRNA from 1 species
AUUUAAAUAGUUUAAAUGUAAAAUAUUGAUUUGUGAUGUCAGAGAUGUAAUGAAUUACUUUAGAUC